UUUGUAUUUUGAUUUGAUUUUAUGCUGUUAUCUGUGUUUAUUGCCCACUGACGUUGGGUUCAGAUUACAGUGAUCUGUAAUACGACGCUAAGACCCAAGACACAUUACUUUUUUGGGACAAUAAAGGAUACCUUAAUGUUAAAGUAAUCUUAAAUGCUUUGUAAGACCAAAAAUGCAUUUAGCAGAGGUGACAGACCCUUUUUUAUUUUCCUCUGAAUUGUCUUGUUGAAUUUCUGUUAGGAACACUUGAGAUAAAAUUUGAUUUGGUUGGAGUGGCUCCUUUAGUCCAUGUACUGUCAGAUAAAGUGAUGCACACUGCAGUAAACGGCCACGUCUCAGCUUUACUUUGACCACUGCUGCAUAAAUAUUAAAAGAACUGUGUCUGAGACAUAGUUCAGUGAAAGGCUACAACGUCCUUCAGUUUGUAGCACAAAACUGACUUUUCUGUCAACACAGUAGACUCCAAAGCAGCUUAAUUUGUUCUUUACAUAGUACCUUUUUUUGUUUUCUGUGUUCCAACAUGAAUAAAAAGUGGGUUAAU